UGGACUUGGCGGUUGGACGGCGUGUAACGCAGCAGGAUCGAGUCUAAAGUGGAUCUGUUAAAGUGUUCUGGGCCGGGCUCACUCAUAGACCAACCUGCUAACCUGGACCGAACCAGAACCUCCUGGACUGGACCCACACCAGAACCUCCCCCACUGUGGUGGGGAGGGGGGGUCCACUGCUGAAGAGACGGGGAAAUGAUGGACAGCCAGGAACAGGGGAGGAGAGGAGACAGGAGAGAGGAGAGAGAGAGGAGAGAGGGGAGGAGAGGAGAGGAGAGGAGGAGGAGGAGGAGAGGAGAGGAGAGGAGAGAGGAGGAGAGGAGGAGGAGAGAGGAGGAGAGAGGAGAGAGGAGAGGAGAGGAGGAGAGGAGAGGAGGGGAGGAGGAGAGGAGGAGGAGGAGGAGGAACGGAGGAGGAGGAGAGGAGGAGGAGGGGGAGGGAGGAGAGAGGAGAGGAGUGGGAGGAGGAGGAGGAGGGAGGAGAGGAGGGGGAGGAGGGAGGAGAGAGGGGAGGAACGGAGGAGGAGGAGAGGAGGAGGAGGGGGAGGGAGGAGGAGGAGAGGAGGAGGGAGGAGGAGGAGGAGGGAGGAGAGGAGGGAGGAGACAGAUGGAGGAGGAAGGUGGAGGUGGUGGUGGGGGUGUUUCAGCAGAGUGGAGGAGGGGCAGCAGGGGUCGAGGACUGGAAUCUCAGGAUCUGAGUCUCUUUCUGGUUGAUGGUUCCCAGAUGUUGCCCCCCCCCCCCCCCCUAAUACACAGGAGUCCAGUUUGUGGGACGGACAGAUGGGUCAGCCGCGGCGUGGAGAUGGGCCUCCUGCUGAUCAGGGGAAAUGGGAGGUGAGAGGAGGCGUCCUCUCAGACCUGGACCUGUUUUCUUAUCCUCUCUGCCCCCACUGUGCAUGUGUGUAUGUGCGUGCACGUGUGUGUGUGUGUGUGUGUGUGCUCAUUGUUCAUGCAUUCUCGUGCACACACAGGUAUGCACGUGCGUGCUCCUGCAGUGGAGGAGGUUCUGCAGAAUCAGGUUCUGGGUCACACGGCGCUGAAACUCCGUCCCCUCAUGAUUUACGGCGUCUGGCUGCAGGCGGCCAUGUUUCAGGAUGACGGCGUGUUCUCGUCCUCC